rnacentral:snRNA from 1 species
UAUAAUUACCACCGAGCGGCGG